ACAGAGGGUGCAAGCGUUAUUCGGAAUCACUGGGCGUAAAGAGUUCGUAGGCGGCCUGUUAAGUCUGUUGUGAAAGCCCUGGGCUCAAUCCAGGAAGUGCAGUAGAUACUGACGGGCUAGAGUGCAGGAGAGGAGAGCGGAAUUCCAGGUGUAGAGGUGAAAUUCGUAGAUAUCUGGAGGAACAACAGUGGCGAAGGCGGCUCUCUGGACUGUAACUGACGCUGAGGAACGAAAGCGUGGGGAGCAAACAG
rnacentral:rRNA from 1 species